GCCCAUCUAGCUCAAUUGGUAGAACAUGAGACUCUUAACCUCAGGGUCGUGGGUUCAAGCCCCAUGUAGGGCA
rnacentral:tRNA from 1 species